UUACUCCUAACUCAGGGCGCUCGCUUCUCUACACGAGGACAAUCAAGGAGUCGCCAAGGGCGCCCGAUCCCCUCCGGCCACUCAGGGGCCGGGCUCCGGCGGCUUCUUCGCUCCUGCCCCCUCCCGGCUUCCGUCCUCGCCGGCACGGGACUCCGCCCCUCCCAACCCUCAGCCCGGCCUGGUUCGCGCCGAGUAGACGGCGGAGGUUCCCACACCCUGAGACAGUCUACGACGGAGGACUCGGCCCCCUUGGGUCCCUCACCUAGCCAGCGGCGGUCGCAGAGGCUCUCGGAGACCCAGACACGGGGGCCGGAGUCCGCGAAUGAGCCUGGGGACUGCCAACGGAUGUGUAACUGAGGCCGGGAGGUGGUCGCGCCUGCGCAAACAAGCUAUAAACAAGCCCUCCCUCCUUUCCGUCACCGCCGCACUCAGUUGGGAGCGACCGGAGUGGGAGGGUGAGAGGGAAGGCGGGGUGAAAGAGGAGGGGGGAGGGAGGUGGCCUCUGGGAAAGUAAGGGACGGCGCCUGCGCAGUGGGUGUGAUCCGGGCACUUGGGGCAGGAUGAACGCUGCUUUCCAAGAUGGCGACGGAGGGAGGAGGGAAGGAGAUGAACGAGAUUAAGACCCAGUUCACCACCCGAGAAGGUCUUUACAAGCUGCUGCCGCAUUCGGAGUACAGUCGGCCCAACCGGGUGCCCUUCAACUCGCAGGGGUCCAACCCCGUGCGCGUCUCCUUCGUCAACCUUAACGACCAAUCUGGCAACGGCGACCGCCUCUGCUUCAAUGUGGGCCGGGAGCUCUACUUUUACAUCUACAAGGGGGUCCGCAAGGCUGCUGACUUGAGUAAACCGAUAGAUAAAAGGAUAUACAAAGGAACACAGCCUACAUGUCAUGACUUCAACCACCUAACAGCCACAGCAGAAAGUGUCUCCCUACUGGUGGGCUUUUCUGCAGGCCAAGUCCAACUCAUAGACCCAAUCAAAAAAGAAACUAGCAAACUAUUUAAUGAGGAAAGACUAAUAGACAAAUCCAGAGUAACCUGUGUAAAAUGGGUGCCAGGUUCGGAAAACCUUUUCCUAGUAGCUCAUUCCAGUGGUAAUAUGUACUUAUAUAAUGUGGAACACACUUGUGGUACCACAGCUCCACACUACCAGCUACUUAAGCAAGGAGAAAGCUUUGCAGUCCACACUUGCAAGAGCAAGUCCACAAGAAACCCUCUCCUUAAGUGGACAGUGGGAGAAGGUUCCCUGAAUGAGUUUGCUUUUUCCCCAGAUGGGAAGUUCUUAGCAUGUGUGAGCCAAGAUGGCUUUCUCCGGGUAUUUAACUUUGAUUCAGUGGAGUUGCACGGUACAAUGAAAAGCUACUUUGGAGGACUACUAUGUGUUUGUUGGAGCCCAGAUGGAAAAUAUAUUGUAACAGGUGGAGAGGAUGACUUGGUUACAGUUUGGUCUUUUGUGGACUGUCGAGUAAUAGCUAGAGGCCAUGGACAUAAAUCAUGGGUCAGCGUUGUAGCAUUUGAUCCAUAUACCACUAGUGUAGAAGAAAGUGAUCCAAUGGAAUUUAGUGGCAGUGAUGAGGAUUUUCAAGACCUCCUUCAUUUUGGCAGAGAUCGAGCAAAUAGUACGCAAUCUAGGUUAUCAAAAAGGAACUCUACAGAUAGUCGCCCAGUAAGCGUUACAUAUAGGUUUGGCUCAGUGGGCCAAGAUACACAACUCUGUUUAUGGGACCUUACAGAAGACAUUCUUUUUCCCCACCAACCCCUCUCCAGAGCAAGGACACAUACAAAUGUCAUGAAUGCCACAAGUCCACCUGCAGGAAGUGGUGGAACCAACCCAGGAAGCAAUGGAAACAGCAUCACAAUGCCUGGAAAUUCUGUGCCCCCGCCUCUUCCACGGUCCAACAGCCUUCCACACUCUGCAGUCUCAAAUGCCGGCAGUAAAAGCAGUGUCCUGGAUGGUGCCAUUGCUUCUGGUGUCAGCAAAUUCGCAACUCUCUCACUACAUGACCGGAAAGAAAGACACCAUGACAAAGAUCACAAGCGAAAUCAUAGUAUGGGACAUAUAUCUAGCAAGAGUAGUGACAAACUGAACCUAGUUACUAAAACCAAAACGGACCCAGCUAAAACUUUGGGAACUUCUCUGUGCCCCCGAAUGGAAGAUGUUCCCUUAUUAGAGCCUCUAAUCUGUAAAAAGAUAGCACAUGAAAGACUGACUGUAUUAAUUUUUCUUGAAGACUGUAUAGUCACUGCUUGUCAGGAGGGAUUUAUUUGCACAUGGGCAAGGCCUGGUAAAGUGGUAAGUUUUAAUCCUUAAUGCUGCAUCAAGAUCUAGACUUGAAUAGGUAGUGAUUUUUUUCCCCCUUGUGGGAGGGAUGGGGUAUAAAAUGAAUGUUGAAUGACACUUCUUUAUGCUUAAUGUAAAGCUAAAUGCAUCAGAGCCAUAAUUUUGGAUACUGCAUGCCAUGUAAUUCCGAAUCAUUUGACAUCUCACCAUAGUACAUUAAAAAAGGAAAAUAUAUACAAAUUACCAGCCAAGACAGUUAUCCUUUUGGGAGUACAUAGAGCCCUAAGGAUCAGUUAGUGUUCCUAUAUUAGACUCUUGAUUUUAGGAAAAUCACAGCAAUGUGGAAAAACAGUGAUUUUAAAAAAUGCUAAAUUGAAAGUUUCUGCUUUGACUGAAGUAGUUUUGCUUAAACUCACUGACUACUAGGCUAUUAUGCACCUAAUGAGAGAAUGUGUAUUCAUUUCAAAGUCACUAAUUGUCAUUUAUAGUCAAAUUUUUUUCAACUUGAUCUUGAAUGUGGUUUAUGAAUCUAUCUAAAAUUUAACUUUAGGAACAAAGCGUUGAGCAGUGUUGAUAUUCUUUUUACAUUGUUAUGGCAAUCCAUCCAAAGACAAGAGCCUUAAUUUUUAAAACCCAUCUUAGUCAUUUUAUGACAGAAUUAAAGUUGUUUAAUAAACAUCUUUUCAAAGAAGUGGUUUUGUAGCACUUUGCUUGAGAUUCUGAAGAGUGGUGUUCUAAGUACAUAUCCUGUACUACUUAAGAGCCUGUAAGGUGAAAGGAAUCAUAGACUCAAGGAAGUCUGACAAGUCAUCAAAAGUGCCUCUUUGUCAUAUAUAAGCCAAGAUAAUUUGUACCCAAUACUCUGCUCUUUUGGGGGGAGGGGGGAUGGAACUGAGGGAAAAGGGAGAAGCAAGUAUUUUUGGUGAAACUCCAGCUUAGAGGCCUCAGGCAAGCUUCUUAAUUUCUUUUUAUAAAAAGUAAUAUAUUCCCAAAGGCUUAAAAGUACAGACUGAAUUUGUUUGGAUUUUGUUUUUAUACCCAAAGGAAACAGACAGAAUUUGAGGUCAUUUGUGGCUUGGGGUCUUUUUGUUUUUAAAUUAUGUUUUGUGGUACCCAAAUGAGUGUUAUACACUGGUGAAUAGUUUAGCUCUUGGAACUCUCAUUUUGAUAUUGUUUCUAAAUAAUCAGAGAGCUACUACUUUGGAACUUGUGAUCGAUUGAUGGGUAUCAAGGAGGGGAGAGUUGCUAGGUAGCGUUUUCUCAAAAAUUUUGAUACUCAAGUCAAUGGACUCAUAUUGCUUUAAUCUACAGUAAAUAAUUGGUUGUAAUUCAUAAUUUAUCUUAUCACUUAUUUAAAGCACUUCUCUUCUAAUAUUCAGAAUGGUAAAAUUGAUUCUUUUUGACUAUAUUUUGUCAAAAUGACAACUUCCUGCUUGAUAAUUUUUAUUCUUGGCAUUAAGGUUUGUGGUUAUAUUAUGGUCUACUUCAUUAAAUCUUCAGAUAAUCAGAACAUGUAUUAGUCCAAAGUUAAAAUAGUAAAGUAAAAAUCUAAUGAUUUGUAUCUUUUGAUGAAUGGUUUAGUUAAAGGAUAACUGAAUGAUAUGUUGUAGCCAUUUACACUGGUGCUGCCUGCAACUCUUUAAAGAAUUUGCUGGAAUCAGGUUUCAUCCAGGCCUAGUUUUCUGCACAUAUAAUGGCUGGAUCCAUUAAAUUUAUAUUUAUGAAACUCCUUAAUGAAAAGUCUGUUUCUAUUACCUUGUAAUAGAAAUAAAAAUAUGUAAUAAAAAUAAAAGCAGUAAACAUCUUUUUUUUUUUUUUUUUUUUUUUUUUUUGUAUUAAAGUCACAAAGCACUUUUCAGUUGUACUUUGUUUUGUUACAUAUCCCAGAAUAUUUGUUCCUGGAAAGGGAGGAAUGUUAGAGAAUGCCCUGUCUUACAAAAUGUGGUCCUUUGUUCCUAAAUGUAUAACUAAAGACAAACAUUUUAGCAGACCUUUUCACCUUUAGGUCAGUCUAAAUUUGGUUGUUAGAAAAGCAAAUUAAUAUUUAACAUCGUUUAUGCAGUUUUGUGCAUAGACAUUUUUAGAAAUCCUGUUUCAAAUGCUUCUGAGACAUUGAGUAUGCAGUUUCAAAAUUCAAGAUUGAGUAUCUGUCCACUGUGGAAAGUGGCUAAAGACAGACAUAAUUGAACUGGGCAGCACCCUGGGACCUCCAUCCCUGAAUGCUUCAAUGCAGGAAUUCCAAGCCUACACUCACACAAGUCACCAUCAGAGGUACCACUGAGUAGUGGUUCCUGGGUUCUUGGAUCUGAGAGGAAAAGAGCUCCUAUAGAUUCUGAAGAGGUGUCAAAUUCUACAUUCCAAUUGGUAUUUGCUUCCUGGUCUUGUCUAGAUUAAAGGAUCUAAGUUACAGGAACCUAACUUUAAGGGUUUAUUGUCAUCCCAAAACCAGGCCAAUUCUCCAAGUGGAACUGUAGUAUAGUCAUCCCACUACACUGCGAACAAAACCCAC